rnacentral:rRNA from 1 species
ACAUGUCCUGUAGUGGGGGAUAGCCCGGCGAAAGCCGGAUUAAUACCGCAUACGAUCUACGGAUGAAAGCGGGGGACCUUCGGGCCUCGCGCUAUAGGGUUGGCCGAUGGCUGAUUAGCUAGUUGGUGGGGUAAAGGCCUACCAAGGCGACGAUCAGUAGCUGGUCUGAGAGGACGACCAGCCACACUGGGACUGAGACACGGCCCAGACUCCUACGGGAGGCAGCAGUGGGGAAUUUUGGACAAUGGGCGAAAGCCUGAUCCAGCAAUGCCGCGUGUGUGAAGAAGGCCUUCGGGUUGUAAAGCACUUUUGUCCGGAAAGAAAUCCUUGGCUCUAAUACAGUCGGGGGAUGACGGUACCGGAAGAAUAAGCACCGGCUAACUACGUGCCAGCAGCCGCGGUAAUACGUAGGGUGCGAGCGUUAAUCGGAAUUACUGGGCGUAAAGCGUGCGCAGGCGGUUUGCUAAGACCGAUGUGAAAUCCCCGGGCUCAACCUGGGAAACUGCAUUGGUGACUGGCAGGCUAGAGUAUGGCAGAAGGGGGUAGAA